rnacentral:lncRNA from 1 species
UAGAGCCUGAAAGCUUAGUGGGAGCAAGAUGGAGGACCAGUUUGAGGAUCCCCAAUCAGAUCCAUUCACUACAAGCUUCUACCACUGAUAUUUGACUCCCAUUGUAGAAUCAAUCCAUUUUUGUAUAUAGAUGAUAAUCCCCAAGAUGGUGACCUACCCCUUCUCAUAUUGACCAGAAUAGGAGUAUUCACACUGGAGAUCCAGAGACUGUUAGUGGAGAGAAUUGGCUAGUUAGUAAUUACCUCAUUAAAUAACUCACGCGCUUGGACUCCAUGACCACAGAGCUGCAUUGUCCAAAUGACAUUCUGUACACCCAAGAACAGGAAUAGGGAAAGAAAGAGAGAGAGAGAGAGAGAGAGAGAGAGAGAGAGAGAGAGAGAGAGAGCCAGAGGAACUAGAGAAUUUAUCAUAGGUCAGGAGCCUAAGCUUGAAGACAAGGGAUUGAGGUGGUGGUAUAACGUAUAAAGAAAGUGAUCUCAAAGCAAGGGAAUGAUUUAGGCAUGUGGUCUAUAAAUAAAAUGAUUAGGCUGAUACCAUGGAGGGGAACCCUGAUGCCCCACAGGACUGAGGCUAAAGGAGCAAUACUCACCGUACCCAGAGCAAGUCUCAGGCCACAUCUUACUUAUGUGUCCCUGCUUGGUUCAGGAACUGCAUUGGGAAACAGUUUGCCAUGAAUGAGCUGAAGGUGGCUGUGGCCCUGACCCUGCUUCGCUUUGAGUUGCUGCCAGAUCCCACCAGGAUCCCGGUCCCUAUGGCAAGACUUGUGUUGAAGUCCAAGAAUGGGAUCCACCUGCGUCUCAAGAAGCUAAGAUAAAUCUGGUGGAGAUAGGACAGCUCCAGAGGUCUGCUGCCUGCAAUACCUGCAUUUGUUACUGGCUAAUUUAUACUCAUUUUGCUUUCUCUUUGAUUCCCAUUCUCUGCUGAGUGUCCCGUCAUCUCAUUUUUUUGCCCUCAUUUCUGUAGCUUUUCCUCCAGACUCCAUCCCAGUUUGUGCGUGGACCCAUUUCCCAUCUGUUUUCACCUCUGACCAGCCACUGAACUUGCCGCCAGCAGCCUGUCCUCCAGCCUGCUUACCCCUCAUUAUCAUUGGACUAACAGAGAAAGAUGUAUUUUAGAGGGAAACUCUUGCACUUUAUCUCUCUUCAGUUCUCAGAGUCUUGGGACAAUGGACAUCAUGAAUUAAAAUGUUCUUAAAAAUCACAUGCUGGGAGAAAAUUAAUCCUAAAAAUUCUGGCACCAGCCAGAGGAAGGAUGUUGGCUGAAAAGAAAAGAUUUCUAGAUAUUUAUGUUUGUCUCAUGGUGAAAUUAAUGUAUGCCUCAUCUUUUCUAUGAAAUAAUAAUUCUGAUACAGAACAGUAGAGAGAAAUGAAUAGUUUUUGCUACUUUGGGCCAAACUGUAAAUAAAUCCAUUUCACUUCAUUAA